rnacentral:rRNA from 1 species
UCCGUAGGCGGUGCGGCAAGUCGGAAGUGAAAUCUCAGGGCUUAACCCUGAGGCUGCUUCCGAAACUGCCGUGCUCGAGUGCGAGAGAGGCGGGUGGAAUUGCAGGUGUAGCGGUGAAAUGCGUGGAUAUCUGCAGGAACAUCCGAGGCGAAAGCGGCUCGCUGGAUCGCAACUGACGCUGAGGGACGAAAGCUAGGGGAGCAAACAGGAUUAGAUACCCUGGUAGUCCUAGCCCUAAACGAUCAGGACUGGGCGUGGGCCUCGUACGGGGCUCGUGCCGCAGCUAACGCGUUAAGUCCUGCGCCUGGGGAGUACGGUCGCAAGGCUGAA